rnacentral:rRNA from 1 species
GGGUGAGUAAUACUUAGGAAUCUACCUAGUAGUGGGGGAUAGCUCGGGGAAACUCGAAUUAAUACCGCAUACGACCUACGGGAGAAAGGGGGCAACUUGUUGCUCUCGCUAUUAGAUGAGCCUAAGUCGGAUUAGCUAGAUGGUGGGGUAAAGGCCUACCAUGGCGACGAUCUGUAGCUGGUCUGAGAGGAUGAUCAGCCACACCGGGACUGAGACACGGCCCGGACUCCUACGGGAGGCAGCAGUGGGGAAUAUUGGACAAUGGGGGCAACCCUGAUCCAGCCAUGCCGCGUGUGUGAAGAAGGCCUUUUGGUUGUAAAGCACUUUAAGCAGUGAAGAAGACUCCAUGGUUAAUACCCAUGGACGAUGACAUUAGCUGCAGAAUAAGCACCGGCUAACUCUGUGCCAGCAGCCGCGGUAAUACAGAGGGUGCAAGCGUUAAUCGGAAUUACUGGGCGUAAAGCGAGCGUAGGUGGCUUGAUAAGUCAGAUGUGAAAGCUCCGGGCUUAACCUGGGAACGGCAUCUGAUACUGUUAGGCUAGAGUAGGUGAGAGGAAGGUAGAAUUCCAGGUGUAGCGGUGAAAUGCGUAGAGAUCUGGAGGAAUACCGAUGGCGAAGGCAGCCUUCUGGCAUCAUACUGACACUGAGGUUUGAAAGCGUGGGUAGCAAACAGGAUUAGAUACCCUGGUAGUCCACGCCGUAAACGAUGUCUACUAGUCGUUGGGUCCCUUGAGGACUUAGUGACGCAGGUAACGCAAUAAGUAGACCGCCUGGGGAGUACGGCCGCAAGGUUAAAACUCAAAUGAAUUGACGGGGGGCCCGCACAAGCGGUGGAGCAUGUGGUUUAAUUCGAUGCAACGCGAAGAACCUUACCUGGUCUUGACAUAUCUAGAAUCCUGCAGAGAUGCGGGAGUGCCUUCGGGAAUUAGAAUACAGGUGCUGCAUUGCUGUCGUCAGCUCGUGUCGUGAGAUGUUGGGUUAAGUCCCGCAACGAGCGCAACCCUUGUCCUUAGUUACCCGCGGUUUGGCCGGGAACUCUAAGGAUACUGCCAGUGACAAACUGGAGGAAGGCGGGGACGACGUCAAGUCAUCAUGGCCCUUACGACCAGGGCUACACACGUGCUACAAUGGUAGGUACAGAGGGCAGCUACACAGCGAUGUGAUGCGAAUCUCAAAAAGCCUAUCGUAGUCCAGAUUGGAGUCUGCAACUCGACUCCAUGAAGUAGGAAUCGCUAGUAAUCGCGGAUCAGAAUGCCGCGAAAGUACGUUCCCGGGCCUUGUACACACCGCCCGUCACUCCAUGAGAGUUGAUUGCACCAGAAGUGGGUAGCUUA